CUUGGUUUGAAUAUUUUCCAAAGGUAGAAUUUAUGAGAAUUUUCUUCAAUUGCCAGGGAGAAGCCAGGAACUCUUAAGUCUUCUGAUGGUGCCACACUGAGCCAAGGAGAGCGACUAUGCAAGCCAUUGCAGAGGAUGGAAAAUCCCUUCUACUGGCUCAGAAACUUGUCACAGGUCCCCAAACACCAGCCAGAUG